rnacentral:tRNA from 5 species
GGAGACGUGGCAGAGCGGACGAAUGCGCCGCACUCGAAAUGCGGUAAGUCUUAACGGGCUUCGGAGGUUCGAAUCCUCCCGUCUCCG